AUUGAACGCUGGCGGCAGGCCUAACACAUGCAAGUCGAACGGUAACAGGAAACAGCUUGCUGUUUCGCUGACGAGUGGCGGACGGGUGAGUAAUGUCUGGGAAACUGCCUGAUGGAGGGGGAUAACUACUGGAAACGGUAGCUAAUACCGCAUAACGUCGCAAGACCAAAGAGGGGGACCCUCGGGCCUCUUGCCAUCGGAUGUGCCCAGAUGGGAUUAGCUUGUUGGUGGGGUAACGGCUCACCAAGGCGACGAUCCCUAGCUGGUCUGAGAGGAUGACCAGCCACACUGGAACUGAGACACGGUCCAGACUCCUACGGGAGGCAGCAGUGGGGAAUAUUGCACAAUGGGCGCAAGCCUGAUGCAGCCAUGCCGCGUGUAUGAAGAAGGCCUUCGGGUUGUAAAGUACUUUCAGCGGGGAGGAAGGGAGUAAAGUUAAUACCUUUGCUCAUUGACGUUACCCGCAGAAGAAGCACCGGCUAACUCCGUGCCAGCAGCCGCGGUAAUACGGAGGGUGCAAGCGUUAAUCGGAAUUACUGGGCGUAAAGCGCACGCAGGCGGUUUGUUAAGUCAGAUGUGAAAUCCCCGGGCUCAACCUGGGAACUGCAUCUGAUACUGGCAAGCUUGAGUCUCGUAGAGGGGGGUAGAAUUCCAGGUGUAGCGGUGAAAUGCGUAGAGAUCUGGAGGAAUACCGGUGGCGAAGGCGGCCCCCUGGACGAAGACUGACGCUCAGGUGCGAAAGCGU
rnacentral:rRNA from 1 species